ensembl:ncRNA F10C2.12 ncRNA
UACAUAUACAAAGGCCAUCUACAAUCGUCGGCAUUGUCGUAAAACUUUUUGUGUCAUCGAGUUGUUAGACAAAUAUUUCCGCGGCGGUUCGGUUCGGGAGACCACCACCUCCACCACCGCAGACGGUAUUGAAUUGGAGGGGAGCAACACAAGGACACACGAUGAAUGGCCUGACGAAGAGGGGCACAAUAGGGGCUCUCCUUCUCCGUCGCCGCCGCCGCAGUCGACAGUCUUUCUCUGUUUCUUUCCUGUCUUUUCCAUCACUUUCCUCCGGACGUCGUCAUCGUUGUCCCGGUCACUACCUUAACCACCAGGCUGUUUGUGUUCAAUUACCUGCGGGCGUUUUGUGUAUGUUCGCGU